rnacentral:rRNA from 1 species
CGGGGGAUUGCCCAGUACGGCGAGUGAAGCGGCAACAGCUCAAUUUGAAAUCUGGCUCUCGGGCCCGAGUUGUAAUUUGUAGAGGAUGCUUUUGGUGAGGUGCCUUCCGAGUUCCCUGGAACGGGACGCCAUAGAGGGUGAGAGCCCCGUCUGGUUGGACGCCGAACCUCUGUAAAGCUCCUUCGACGAGUCGAGUAGUUUGGGAAUGCUGCUCUAAAUGGGAGGUAUAUGUCUUCUAAAGCUAAAUACCGGCCAGAGACCGAUAGCGCACAAGUAGAGUGAUCGAAAGAUGAAAAGAACUUUGAAAAGAGAGUUAAACAGUACGUGAAAUUGUUGAAAGGGAAGCGCUUGUGACCAGACUUGGGCUUGGUUGAUCAUCCGGGGUUCUCCCCGGUGCACUCUUCCGGCCCAGGCCAGCAUCAGUUCGCCCUGGGGGACAAAGGCUUCGGGAACGUGGCUCUCUCCGGGGAGUGUUAUAGCCCGUUGCGUAAUACCCUGUGGCGGACUGAGGUUCGCGCAUUCGCAAGGAUGCUGGCGUAAUGGUCAUCAGUGACCCGCUAAAAAAAAAAAAAAAACAAA